rnacentral:tRNA from 1 species
GCCUCCUUGGCUCAGUCGGUAGAGCGUUAGUCUCAUAAUCUGAAGGUCAACAGUUCGAUCCUGUUAGGAGGCA